rnacentral:miRNA from 1 species
UGAGGCAGGAGAAUUGCUUGAACCCAGGAGGUGGAGGUUGCAGUGAGCCAAGAUCGUGCCACUGCACUCCAGCCUGGGUGAUAGAGCGAGACUCAGUCUCA